GAUGAACGCUAGCGGCAGGCCUAAUACAUGCAAGUCGAGGGGCAGCACGGUAGCAAUACUGGUGGCGACCGGCGCACGGGUGCGUAACACGUAUACAAUCUGCCUUUAACAGGGGGAUAGCCUUUCGAAAGAGAGAUUAAUACCCCAUAACACCAGAAGAAGCAUUUCUUUUGGUUGAAAGCUCCGGCGGUUAAAGAUGA
rnacentral:rRNA from 1 species